rnacentral:rRNA from 1 species
UACAGAGGUCCCAAGCGUUGUUCGGAUUCACUGGGCGUAAAGGGUGCGUAGGUGGUCGGGUAAGUUUUGAUGUGAAAAGCUCCGAGCUUAACUCGGAAAAUGGCAUUGAAUACUAUUCGGCUAGAGGGUUGGAGGGGGGGGACUGGAAUUCUCGGUGUAGCAGUGAAAUGCGUAGAUAUCGAGAGGAACACCAGUGGCGAAGGCGAGUCCCCUGGACAACUCCUGACACUGAGGCACGAAAGCUAGGGGAGCAAACAGG